AGCCAUAAGAAAUAAAGUACAGAAUGAUUAUUUUAUCUGUGCACGCCUGAAUACUUUCGUGUAUGCACCACAUUAUGCAUAUCAUAAACAACUUUUUAAAUUAGCAGUUAUAGUUAAUAAAUUUUUACAACACAAAAACCACACUGUGUCAUAAAUGACAACAAAGACUUCAAGUAACUAAUAAUGGCAAAAUUCAAACCAAAUAUGUAGAACGUAAUUUAUUCAAAUACGAAUACAAAGAAAAAUAAAAUAAAUACAUAAAUAGGUAGGUACUCUAUAAUAAGUGCUCAAACUGCCCGCCUAAUCUUUCUUCAGACAGCGCUAUCCAUUGCUGAAAUAUAUAGGGACAUUUUUUAACUCUGAACACCCCACAAAGUCCCUAUGUUCAAUCUGAAAAAAAAACCAUAAUGUAUUAGAAGUAUGCAACCAAUAUUACAUCGCCAACUUAAAUAUAAUUUGGAAGUUUGAAAAAUGUAUACAGCAGAAGAAAAAAUACUAAUAUUAAAUUGGUACUAACGCCAUGCAAGCACUCAACGUGUUCAAAGACAAUUGGCCAGCCUACGGUAAAAGCCUUGAACAGCGUUCCUAAUGAAAUUAGGGUUAAGCUCAUUGCAGAUGCCUCCAAAGGAAAAAGUCAUUAAGAGACAAAUCUGGCGACCUUAGUGGCCAAGCAAUUGUCCCAAAUCUUGCUAUUCACCGACACCGCUAUGUAAAAAUUUCGUGUAAAUAAUGAGUUAUUAUUGCAGUUGAAUGUGGGGGAGCUCCAUCCAUUUGAAACCAAACUUCAUUAAUAUUUAAGUUUUGAAUUUGGGGCACUAUGUGGUUACGAAGCAGUCAUAAAAAGGAAUUGGAAUCCAAAUUUCCUUCAAUAAAAGAUGGACCAUUUAAGAAAAUGCCUAAAUUUUGUGCUGUUGUGGAUUGCGCGAAUCGAAGCACCAGAAAUGCGGACAAAUUUUAUUUUCCUUUCCCAGCAAUUAGCAACAAUAAAGGUAAAUAUAUACAGGAUGGGGAAAAAAGGCGGAAGCUUUGGUUAAAAGCCUUGAAACGAGUGGAUUUAACGAAGCCAAAGUAAAGUAUUCCUAUAUUUGUUCGGAUCAUUUUAUUUUAGGUAAACCUGCAGAUUUGUCGGAUGUGGACCACCCUGAUUAUGUUCCAUCACAAAAUUUAGGAUAUAAAAAUAAAUCCACUCAUAAUACUUGUAAUGUUGAAAGACA